rnacentral:rRNA from 1 species
GAUGAACGCUGGCGGCGUGCCUAAUACAUGCAAGUCGAGCGGACGGACGAGGAGCUUGCUUGGCUGAUGUUAGCGGAGGACGGGAGAGUAACACGAGUAUAACCUACCUAUAAUACUGAUAAAAUUUCGGGAAACCGGAUCUUACACCGGAUAAGAUUCUGAUGCGCAGUGUGCAUAGGAGAGAUACGGCGGUUCUGUCUCUACUAGAUGGAUCUGCGCUGCAUUAGGUAGUUGUGAAGGUAAAGGGCUACCAAGGCUACGAGGCAUAGCCGACGUGAGAGAGUGAUAGGCGACACUGGAACUUGGACACGGUCCAGACUCCUGCGGGAGGCAGCAGUAGGCAAUCUUCCGCAAUGGGCGAAAGCCUGACGGAGCGACGCCGAGUGAGUGAUGGAGGCCUUCCGAUCGUAAUACUCUGUUAUUAGGGAAGAACAUAUGUGUAAGUUACUGUGCACAUAUUGACGGUACCUAAUAAGAAAGCCCCGGCUAACUACGUG